AGAUUAAGUUAUUAAGGGCGCACGGUGGAUGCCUUGGCACUAGAAGCCGAUGAAGGACGUUACUAACGACGAUAUGCUUUGGGGAGCUGUAAGUAAGCUUUGAUCCAGAGAUUUCCGAAUGGGGAAACCCAGCAUGAGUUAUGUCAUGUUAUCGAUAUGUGAAUACAUAGCAUAUCAGAAGGCACACCCGGAGAACUGAAACAUCUUAGUACCCGGAGGAAGAGAAAGAAAAUUCGAUUCCCUUAGUAGCGGCGAGCGAAACGGGAAGAGCCCAAACCAACAAGCUUGCUUGUUGGGGUUGUAGGACACUCUAUACGGAGUUACAAAGGACGACAUUAGACGAAUCAUCUGGAAAGAUGAAUCAAAGAAGGUAAUAAUCCUGUAGUCGAAAAUGUUGUCUCUCUUGAGUGGAUCCUGAGUACGACGGAGCACGUGAAAUUCCGUCGGAAUCUGGGAGGACCAUCUCCUAAGGCUAAAUACUCUCUAGUGACCGAUAGUGAACCAGUACCGUGAGGGAAAGGUGAAAAGCACCCCGGAAGGGGAGUGAAAUAGAACCUGAAACCGUGUGCUUACAAGUAGUCAGAGCCCGUUAAUGGGUGAUGGCGUGCCUUUUGUAGAAUGAACCGGCGAGUUACGAUUUGAUGCAAGGUUAAGCAGUAAAUGUGGAGCCGUAGCGAAAGCGAGUCUGAAUAGGGCGUUUAGUAUUUGGUCGUAGACCCGAAACCAGGUGAUCUACCCUUGGUCAGGUUGAAGUUCAGGUAACACUGAAUGGAGGACCGAACCGACUUACGUUGAAAAGUGAGCGGAUGAACUGAGGGUAGCGGAGAAAUUCCAAUCGAACCUGGAGAUAGCUGGUUCUCUCCGAAAUAGCUUUAGGGCUAGCCUCAAGUGAUGAUUAUUGGAGGUAGAGCACUGUUUGGACGAGGGGCCCCUCUCGGGUUACCGAAUUCAGACAAACUCCGAAUGCCAAUUAAUUUAACUUGGGAGUCAGAACAUGGGUGAUAAGGUCCGUGUUCGAAAGGGAAACAGCCCAGACCACCAGCUAAGGUCCCAAAAUAUAUGUUAAGUGGAAAAGGAUGUGGCGU
rnacentral:rRNA from 1 species